rnacentral:rRNA from 1 species
UACGGAGGGUGCGAGCGUUGUCCGGAAUCACUGGGCGUAAAGGGCGCGUAGGCGGGAUGGCAAGUCAGUCGUGAAAUCUCUCGGCUCAACCGAGAAACGUCGGCUGAUACUGCCGUUCUUGAGGGAUGCAGAGGAGACUGGAAUUCCUGGUGUAGCGGUGAAAUGCGCAGAUAUCAGGAAGAACACCAAUGGCGAAGGCAGCUCUCUGGGACGGUACUGACGCUGAGACGCGAAAGCGUGGGGAGCGAACAGG